rnacentral:rRNA from 1 species
CCUACGGGUGGCAGCAGUGGGGAAUAUUGGACAAUGGGCGAAAGCCUGAUCCAGCCAUGCCGCGUGUGUGAAGAAGGCCUUCGGGUUGUAAAGCACUUUCAGUGGGGAAGAAAGCCUUGGGCUAAUACCCUCGAGGAAGGACAUCACCCACAGAAGAAGCACCGGCUAACUCCGUGCCAGCAGCCGCGGUAAUACGGAGGGUGCGAGCGUUAAUCGGAAUUACUGGGCGUAAAGCGCGCGUAGGCGGUCUGAUAAGCCGGUUGUGAAAGCCCCGGGCUCAACCUGGGAACGGCAUCCGGAACUGUCAGGCUAGAGUGCAGGAGAGGAAGGUAGAAUUCCCGGUGUAGCGGUGAAAUGCGUAGAGAUCGGGAGGAAUACCAGUGGCGAAGGCGGCCUUCUGGACUGACACUGACGCUGAGGUGCGAAAGCGUGGGUAGCAAACAGGAUUAGAUACCCGAGUAGUC